GCCCCGGUAGCUCAGUGGAUAGAGCGACCGCCUUCUAAGCGGUUGGCCGCAGGUUCGAUCCCUGCCCGGGGUGC
rnacentral:tRNA from 1 species